rnacentral:rRNA from 1 species
ACGAACGCUGGCGGCGUGCUUAACCCAUGCAGGUCGAACGGAAAGGCCCUGCUUUUGUGGGGUGCUCGAGUGGCGAACGGGUGAGUAACACGUGAGUAACCUGCCCUUGACUUUGGGAUAACUUCAGGAAACUGGGGCUAAUACCGGAUAGGAGCUCCUGCUGCAUGGUGGGGUUGGACAGGUUUGGGGGUUGGGGAUGGACUCGCGGCUUAUCAGCUUGGUGGUGGGGUAGUGGCUUACCAAGGCUUUGACGGGUAGCCGGCCUGAGAGGGUGACCGGCCACAUUGGGACUGAGAUACGGCCCAGACUCCUACGGGAGGCAGCAGUGGGGAAUAUUGCACAAUGGGCGGAAGCCUGAUGCAGCAACGCCGCGUGCGGGAUGACGGCCUUCGGGUUGUAAACCGCUUUCGCCUGUGACGAAGCGUGAGUGACGGUAAUGGGUAAAGAAGCACCGGCUAACUACGUG